rnacentral:tRNA from 1 species
GAUCAAGUAAAGUGGUUGACCUAUGUUCUUCUAAACCGUGGGUCGGGGGUUCGAAUCCCUCCUAGAUCA